rnacentral:rRNA from 1 species
CUACGGGACGCUGCAGUGGGGAAUAUUGCACAAUGGAGGAAACUCUGAUGCAGCAACGCCGCGUGGAGGAUGACACUUUUCGGAGCGUAAACUCCUUUUAUAUAGGAAGAAGAUGACGGUACUAUAUGAAUAAGCGCCGGCUAACUCCGUGCCAGCAGCCGCGGUAAUACGGAGGGCGCAAGCGUUACUCGGAAUCACUGGGCGUAAAGAGCGUGUAGGCGGAUUAAAAAGUCAGAAGUGAGAUCCUAUAGCUUAACUAUAGAACUGCUUCUGAAACUCUUAAUUUAGAAUAUGGGAGAGGUAGAUGGAAUUUCUGGUGUAGGGGUAAAAUCCGUAGAGAUCAGAAGGAAUACCGAUUGCGAAGGCGAUCUACUAGAACAUUAUUGACGCUGAGACGCGAAAGCGUGGGGAGCAAACAGGAUUAGAUACCCGCGUAGUC